rnacentral:rRNA from 1 species
CCUACGGGAGGCAGCAGUGGGGAAUCUUGCGCAAUGGGCGAAAGCCUGACGCAGCCAUGCCGCGUGAAUGAUGAAGGUCUUAGGAUUGUAAAAUUCUUUCACCGGGGACGAUAAUGACGGUACCCGGAGAAGAAGCCCCGGCUAACUUCGUGCCAGCAGCCGCGGUAAUACGAAGGGGGCUAGCGUUGCUCGGAAUUACUGGGCGUAAAGGGAGCGUAGGCGGAUAGUUUAGUCAGAGGUGAAAGCCCAGGGCUCAACCUUGGAAUUGCCUUUGAUACUGGCUAUCUUGAGUAUGGGAGAGGUUAGCGGAACUCCGAGUGUAGAGGUGAAAUUCGUAGAUAUUCGGAAGAACACCAGUGGCGAAGGCGGCUAACUGGCCCAUUACUGACGCUGAGGCUCGAAAGCGUGGGGAGCAAACAGGGUUAGAUACCCUGGUAGUCCACGCCGUAAACGAUGAGUGCUAGUUGUCGGCAUGCAUGCAUGUCGGUGACGCGAGCUACGACAUUAAGUACACCUCCGCCGUCGGGGUAGGGUACGGGUCGGCGAAGAAGUUAAAACUUAACUAAACUAGUAAGUUAGACGGACGUGAGACGUCGCCGAACGGACGACCGACGAGGGAGGUAGG